rnacentral:rRNA from 1 species
AAGGUCUCCGUUGGUGAACCAGCGGAGGGAUCAUUGCUGGAACGCGCCUCGGCGCACCCAGAAACCCUUUGUGAACUUAUACCUAUUGUUGCCUCGGCGAAGGCCGGCCUCUUCUGAGGCCCCUUGUCUCCAAGGAGCAGCCCGCCGGCGGCCAACCAAACUCUUGUUUCUUAGUGAAUCUCUGAGUAAAAAACAUAAAUGAAUCAAAACUUUCAACAACGGAUCUCUUGGUUCUGGCAUCGAUGAAGAACGCAGCGAAAUGCGAUAAGUAAUGUGAAUUGCAGAAUUCAGUGAAUCAUCGAAUCUUUGAACGCACAUUGCGCCCUCUGGUAUUCCGGAGGGCAUGCCUGUUCGAGCGUCAUUUCAACCCUCAAGCCUGGCUUGGUGUUGGGGCACUGCCUUGGAGACAAGGCAGGCCCUGAAAUCUAGUGGCGAGCUCGCUAGGACCCCGAGCGUAGUAGUUAUAUCUCGUUCUGGAAGGCCCUGGCGGUGCCCUGCCGUUAAACCCCCAACUUCUGAAAUUUUGACCUCGGAUCAGGUAGGAAUACCCGCUGAA